GGGCAAAGCAAAGUCUCCAAGGGAAUCUGGGUCAAACCUGACCGCAGUUCUUGGAGGACAUCCUGGGAAAACAGGGGUGAAUGCAGCUUGUUGUGAGGGAAGGACAUUGAAAGCAAAGCUCUCGGGAAUAUUCAGCAGCAGUGCCUUUCUCUGGAGGUGGCCAUUUUGGGAAAAUCUGGCCCCACCCGUCAGCCAGCCUCUGAGAAGCCCCAAGGCAAACAACAACCCAGGAGACAACAACAAACAACAGCCCCACCCCUCAGUAAACAGGCUGCCUAAAGACCCCUCAGGCACACAGCUGCCUCUAAUCCCGUCCAGAGACUAAGCUCCACCCACCAGAGGGAUUAGAAUCGGCUCCUCCUACCAGGGGGCAGGCAUCAGCCCCUCCCAUCAGGAAGCCUACACCAAGCCCCCAUACUGACUUCAGCCACAAGGGGGGCAGACAUCAGAAGUAAGAGAGGCUACAACUCUAUUAUCUUAAGAAGGUCACCACACCAAAAACCUAUAAAAAUGAAAAGACAGAGAACUAUAACUCAGAUGAGGGAAAAAGAAAAAAACCCAGAAAAACAGCUAAGCCAUGAGGAGAUUCUCAGCCUCCAGGGAAAAGACUUUAGACUGUUGAUGCUGAAGAAGAUGCAAGACAUUGGAAAUAAACUGGAGGCAAAGACUAAUAAUUUUCAGGAAACAAUGACCAAAGAGAUACAAGAUAUAAAACUUAAACAAGAAGAGAUGCAAAAUACAAUAACUGAAAAAAAAAAUUCACUAGAAGCAGCUAACAGCAGAAUACAGGAGGCAGAAGAACGAAUAAGCAAGGUGGAGGACAGAUUAGUAGAAAUUACAGAUGCAGAACAGAAAAGAGAAAAAAGAUUGAAAACAAAUGAAGAGAGUCUCAGAGAACUCUGGGACAAUGUGAAAUGCACCAACAUCCGUAUUAUAGGGGUGCCAGAAGGAGAAGAGAGAGAGAAGGAGAAAGAAAAAAUAUUCCAAGAGAUAAUAGCCGAAAGCUUCCCUAACAUGGGGAAGGAAUCACUCACUCACAUCCAGGAAGCACAGUGAGUACCAUACAAAAUAAACCCAAGGAUGAACACCCUGAGACACAUACUAAUCAAACUGAACAAAAUUAAAGACAAAGAGAAAAUCUUGAAACCAGCUAGGGAAAAGAAACAAAUAACAUACAAAGGAACCCCGAUAAGGUUAUCAGCAGAUUUUUCAACAGAAACUCUGCAGGCCAGAAGGGAGUGGCAUGAUAUACUCAACGUGAUGAAAGGAAAAAACCUCCAACCAAGAUUACCCGGCAAGGCUCUCAUUGAGAUUUGAAGGAGAAAUCAAAACCUUCUCAGAUAAGCAAAAUCUGAGAUAAUUCCGCAACACUAAACCAGCCUUACAACAAAUACUAAAGGAACUUCUAUAGGCAGAAAAGAACAAGAGAAGAAGGAAAGGAAAAAGAGCAAAAAAACAAAUCCAAAGUAAUUAAUAAAAUGGCAAUAAGAACAUACAUAUCAAUAAUUCCCUUAAAUGUGAAUGGACUAGAUGCCCCAACCAAAAGACAUAGACUGGCUGAAUGGAUACAAAAACAAGACCCAUAUAUAUGCUGUCUUCAAGAGACCCACUUCACUUCGAGGGACACAUACAAACUGAAAGUGAGAGGAUGGAAGAAAAUAUUUCAUGCAAAUGGGGAUCAAAAGAAAGCUGGAGUAGCAAUACUCAUAUCAGACAAAAUAGACUUUAAAAUGAAGGAUAUUUUAAGGGACAAAGAAGGACAUUACAUAAAUGAUCAAAGGAUCAAUCCAAGAAGAUGCUAUAACAAUUUUAAAUAUCUACACACCCAACAUAGGUUCACCACAAUACAUAAGGCAACUGCUAACAACAUUAAAAGGACAAAUAGACAAUAACACAAUAAUACAGAAAAGGAAAUUAGGGAAGCAAUCCAAUUUAUCAUCGCAUCCAAAAGAAUAAAAUACCUAGGAAUAAACCUACCUAAAAAAACAAAAGACCUGUACUCUGAAAACUACAAGCCACUGAUGAAAGAAAUCAAAGAGGACACAAAUAGAUGGAAAGAUAUACCAUGCUCAUGGAUUGGAAGAGUUAAUAUUAUCAAAAUGACUAUACUACCCAAGGCAAUCUACAGAUUCAACACAAUCCCUAUCAAGUUACCAAGGACAUUUUUCACAGAACUUGAAUGAAAUAUUUUAAAGUUUGUUUGGAAGUACAAAAGCCCCAUAAGAGCCAAAGACAUCCUGAAAAAGAAAAAUGGAGCUGGAGGAAUCAGGCUCCCGAACUUCAGACUAUACUACAAAGCAACAGUCGUCAAAACUGCAUGGUACUGGCACAAAGACAGACAUAUAGAUCAGUGGACCGGAUAGAAAGCCCAGAAUUAAACCCAUGCACUUACAGCCAACUAAUCUAUGACAAAGGAAGCAAGACUAUACAAUGGAGAAAAGACAGCCUCUUCAAUACGUGGUGCUGGGAAAACUGGACAGCCACAUGGAAAAGAAUGAAAUUAGAACACUCCCUAACACCAUACACAAAAAUAAGCUCAAAAUGGAUUAAAGACCUACAUAUAAGAACAGACACUAUCAAACUCCUAGAGGAAAACAUAGGCCAAACACUCUCUGACAUAAAUGACAGCAACAUCAUCUCAGAUCCACCUAUCAGAGUAUUGACAACAAAAACAAAAA
rnacentral:lncRNA from 1 species